AAGGGAAGGAGGGAGCGAGGCACAGAGGGCGGGCAGAUGGCAGGAUGGCAAACUCAUUGGCACAGUGCCAUCCAGUCAGUGGCAAUGCCACACUUGCAUGUGAUAGCAAGAGCAGCUGGGCAGAGGAGCCCAGCAUUCUGCAUUCACACCAGCCCAAAUGAAGCAGCCCAGGGAGACUACCCAGAACUCAGAGCAGGUAGCCCAGGGCACAAGGCCCCCGAAGACACUCUCAGAUUUCUCUUGGCUCUUGAGAACCCACCCGUGGCACCAACAGGACCCCCAGCAUCAGCCCCACUUCUUCAGCAUCCCAUGCAGUGGAGCCAGCACAAGAGAAGACAAAGGCUACCAUCUCUGCCAAGAGGCAACUGCUAAGCCCAGGGUGGCACCUUGGAAACAGCAAAGGAGGAGGAACAGCCCUGCUCGUUUGCCUUUUUUUUUCAGCCAGCAUUGAGGCACCAGGGCACCCAACCCAGUUGCAGCAGGCAGAACGCCAGCAGCUGCCUUCCUCAAACCACUGCUUCUUUGCCCAGCAGGUCAAUUUCAAGCUGGCACUAAAGAGACAAAGAACCCAAAUUUGCACCAAGGCAGCCGACACCGAUGGGAAAAUGCUGUAAGUCUCAGGUACGCCAGCUUCUCCAAUGACAACGAUCAGCUAACAGUCUAACAGGAAAAAGACCAUAUCCACAAGGAAAGAGCCCUCCAGCCUUGUGCUCUAUGGAGAAAAAGGGCUUUGGGUGAAGGACAUUGCUGGGGAUUGGCAGGAGCACCAGUGUGAACACGGGCAUGAAGACACAUGGAGGAGGUAUGCAGUUAUAAGUCAAGAGCAGAAGAAAAGGCAGCAGCACCGUGGCAGAGCCUCCCUCUCCAUUCUGCUCACAUGUCAGAGCAGCCAUUGGUGCCACAUCAAAUCGGACACUCACUCAUUGUAUAUUAAGGGGUUUUUAAAGCUCCUUGCCAAAUUACAUUUUCUCAAUGGUUUCCAGUUUCAACAUUUUUCAUUUAAAAUUGUGCUCUAUGGCAGAGGUCCCCAAGCUUUUGGGCACAAAGGACCAGUUCCGUGGAGAGAGGAUUUUCCGUGGACCAGAGGGAUCAUCCACCGCCCAACGAAUGGCAUGUCGGCUGUUUCACUGAUGGAGGGAGGAGCAGUUCCUCAACUUCAAGCAGGCCUGAAGCCCACCUCUCUAGCAGAUUCAGAAGCAGGAAGAGGCCACACAGGUGAGGCAGGCCAUGCCUGGCCCAGGCACCUGCAACAUGGAGGAGAGCUCCUCCCCUGACACAGUCUUGCAACAACUCUGCAACCAGAGACCCAGAACCUCCCUCCCAUGGGAGGGGGGGAGAUGUGCAAGCAUCCUGCUCCUUGGUUGCUCUCCCCCAUGGUUUCUGGGCCCAGCCAGGCCUGGGAAGAGGGUGCCCUCAGACAGCAUAAACCUCAAAUGCCACUCCGUGACCCCCAUAAUACAGGACAGGAAGAAAAAGCAGAUGGUAAAGCACCCUUUGCAGUGGCCGAAGCAGAAAGGGAAGCUGGUCCUACUGAUAUCAUGUCAACCCUUGGAAGGACCUCCAAAGCACAGGGCAAUGGGGAGGGGAGACAGUGAAGACAGGAACUAGGGAAGGGAACCGUCCUGUAUAAUCACAGGAAGGGGAGAAUCACACCUGCUGGUCAUCAAUGCCUGCAGCCUGGAUGGGAAAGGUUAAGCUGGCCAGGCCUUUGCCUCCUCAGCUGUCUCAGCCCAGGCCUGGGCUUGGCAUGAAAAAGGUGAGAUCAGAAGCCCCCCCACCCUGUCCACUAUAUUUCUAGAGCAGCCUCUCUUUCCCCCCACUUCGCCCGGUCUCCUCCCUUUCUUACUGGACCUCCAGGUGCAGCCAGCAUAGCUGGCAAUUGACUCUCCCCCCAUUCCCCACCCUUCUAGAAUUGAGAGAAGUCCAUUUGUUCCCAAGGAUUUGCCCACCGAUUCCGACUUUUAAUCAGACUGGAAAAUUCAUGAUGAGUUGGGCAAAAAGAUAUCCAGGUCUCCAAUGCCAGCAUUGCCCAGAUUUCUUGUAUCUUUGUUUACAAAAUGUGAAUAUUAUCUUCAGUAAAAUAUCAAAAUAAUUGACAUUAAAUCAGUCAUACUACCUAAUAAAAUGCCUACAUAAAAUGAUAAUGCAGUUUUUUAAAAAGCCAAUUAUUAGGGCAAAAGGCUGGCAAAGGAAAUGGAGGUGUUAUUGGGAUUAUUUUUUAAUGGCAACAUUCCUCUAUGACUGCCUAACCUUCCUUAAGUGCCAGGAUAAGGAGCCUUUGUAUGAAUUGAGACUGGGGAUGGUGGUGUCCGAAACUGUCAGUCAGAGUUCUUUUUACAAAACAACUAGGAUAAUUUUGGAUGUGUGUGUAUUGCAAGCCUUGUUCUUCAAUACUCCUAUCUAUUUUAUUUAUCAUAUUUAGAAACUGCUCAAUUUGAAUAACA